AACGCGAAGAACCUUACCAAGUCUUGACAUCCGCCUGACCGGAACGUAACGGUUCCUUUCCUUCGGGACAGGCGAGACAGGUGGUGCAUGGUUGUCGUCAGCUCGUGUCGUGAGAUGUUGGGUUAAGUCCCGCAACGAGCGCAACCCUUAUCCUUAGUAGCCAGCAGGUAAGGCUGGGCACUCUGGGGAGACUGCCGGAGACAAUCCGGAGGAAGGUGGGGAUGACGUCAAAUCAUCAUGCCCCUUAUGAUUUGGGCUACACACGUGCUACAAUGGCGUAAACAAAGGGAAGCGAAGGAGUGAUCCGGAGCGAACCCCAAAAAUAACGUCCCAGUUCGGAUUGUAGUCUGCAACUCGACUACAUGAAGCUGGAAUCGCUAGUAAUCGCGGAUCAGAAUGCCGCGGUGAAUACGUUCCCGGGUCUUGUACACAC
rnacentral:rRNA from 1 species